rnacentral:rRNA from 1 species
UAGGGAAUCUUCGGCAAUGGACGAAAGUCUGACCGAGCAACGCCGCGUGAGUGAAGAAGGUUUUCGGAUCGUAAAACUCUGUUGUUAGAGAAGAACAAGGACGUUAGUAACUGAACGUCCCCUGACGGUAUCUAACCAGAAAGCCACGGCUAACUACGUGCCAGCAGCCGCGGUAAUACGUAGGUGGCAAGCGUUGUCCGGCUUUAUUGGGCGUAAAGCGAGCGCAGGCGGUUUCUUAAGUCUGAUGUGAAAGCCCCCGGCUCAACCGGGGAGGGUCAUUGGAAACGGGGAGGCUUGAGUGCAGAAGAGGAGGGUGGAAUUCCAUGUGUAGCGGUGAAAUGCGUAGAUAGAUGUAGGAACACCAGUGGCGAAGGCGGCUCUCUGGUCUGUAACUGACGCUGAGGCUCGAAAGCGUGGGGAGCAAACAGG